UCGACUUCGGGUCGAUACAAUGCGAAGGAUGACGCGGCAGUUUACCGAAAGUUCGUUGAGUAAACGUGAAGGAAUUUAGAGAUGGUUCUCGCUGGAUUUUCGGAAAAAUGUUGCCUAUUUCUUGCACUAACUUGAAUCAUCGCCAAUUCAAAGCCGGCCACAUUCUGUUUUCAAAUCUGGAACAAAAAAUAUAAUUUUGUUGAUUAGGUUUAAGUGUUUGAUUUAAUGAACAAGAGAAUGGAGAUAGACUUUUAACUAUAAAGAGUUAGUUAAAGGAGAAGUACGAAGAAAAUCGGCAA